AGUGGACGCAUCACUGGUGUUCGGGUUGUCAUGCCAAUGGCAUUGCCCGGUAGCUAAAUGCGGAAGAGAUAAGUGCUGAAAGCAUCUAAGCACGAAACUUGCCCCGAGAUGAGUUCUCCCUGACUCCCUGAGAGUCCUGAAGGAACGUUGAAGACGACGACGUUGAUAGGCCGGGUGUGUAAGCGCAGCGAUGCGUUGAGCUAACCGGUACUAAUGAACCGUGAGGCUUAACCUU
rnacentral:rRNA from 1 species